CAGCCGCCGCGGUAAUACGAAGGGGGCUAGCGUUGUUCGGAUUUACUGGGCGUAAAGCGCACGUAGGCGGAUCCUUAAGUCAGAGGUGAAAUCCCAAGGCUCAACCUUGGAACUGCCUUUGAUACUGGGGAUCUCGAGUUCGGGAGAGGUGAGUGGAACUGCGAGUGUAGAGGUGAAAUUCGUAGAUAUUCGGAGGAACACCAGUGGCGAAGGCGGCUCACUGGUCCAUUACUGACGCUGAGGUGCGAAAGCGUGGGGAGCAAACAGGAUUAGAUACCCCGGUAGUCCCUGUCUCUUAUAC
rnacentral:rRNA from 1 species